CGCUGAUAAGACUCGUAAAUUAGAUCAGGCUGCCCUUGAAACGGAAGCUAGAAUCUUUCCACUACUAUGUGAGAAGAAAAAUUUAUUUAAUGACUUAUUAACGGCCAAAGGAAAUGUGAAGGUGUUUUGUCGUGUAAGGCCUCUAUUUGAAGAUGAAGGCCCAGAUAUUGUAGAAUUUCCUGAUGAUAAUACUCUACAAAAAAAAA